rnacentral:rRNA from 1 species
GAUGAACGCUGGCGGCGUGCCUAAUACAUGCAAGUCGAGCGAACAGACGAGGAGCUUGCUCCUCUGACGUUAGCGGCGGACGGGUGAGUAACACGUGGAUAACCUACCUAUAAGACUGGGAUAACUUCGGGAAACCGGAGCUAAUACCGGAUAAUAUAUUGAACCGCAUGGUUCAAUAGUGAAAGACGGUUUUGCUGUCACUUAUAGAUGGUUCCGCGCCACAUUAGCUAGUUGGUAAGGUAACGGCUUACCAAGGCAACGAUGCGUAGCCGACCUGAGAGGGUGAUCGGCCACACUGGAACUGAGACACGGUCCAGACUCCUACGGGAGGCAGCAGUAGGGAAUCUUCCGCAAUGGGCGAAAGCCUGACGGAGCAACGCCGCGUGAGUGAUGAAGGUCUUCGGAUCGUAAAACUCUGUUAUUAGGGAAGAACAAAUGUGUAAGUAACUAUGCACGUCUUGACGGUACCUAAUCAGAAAGCCACGGCUAACUACGUG